CCACUUUAGGGGCUCUGUGGCCGCCCAAAGUAACAAAUUGUAAGACUUUUCUGAUGAAUAUUCAUAUCCUGGCUAAUAAGUACGUGUGCUAUCUUGAGCCAACCAUGCAGGGUACAGGAAGGAUGUUAUUUUAAAAAUAAAGCUGCCGGAUUAUUUUUCCUGUAGACAGAACUGAAGCAUGAUUUCCACUGCUCUGAUGCCAUUGCUGAAUGAAGAGGUCGUCAGAGUUGCCUGACAAAUCUGUUGCUGUUUCCAUCCCUGUGGUACUAAAUGUGUUGUACCUGGAUGGUGGGAAAGCUGGAUAAUCAGUCACAUUUCCAGUAUCUCCACAUGAGCAAUUAGGAACAUCUACCCCAAAGCUGUAGGCCAGACAGAGCUACAGGCACAGUGAACCUUAAUGUUUCUUUAAUCAGCAUCUGAUAACAAGUGAUUCAUAACCAAGCAAACUCAAGUAACUUCAACUGAAAAACAAGUAGCCAAGAAGAAACAUUGUUUGCAUUGAGGUGCAAAUAACUAAGACAGAAAAAUAUCGUGGUCUUUAAAUAUUUGUCUCAAGGACUCAGACAUAACGUGACUUGUCCACAAGAUGGCAUGCACUGUACCCAGAAGGGGCUGGCAGCAAAGUACCAUCUGUGGGACAAAAAAACCCUUCCUUGGAAUUGUCCUUAACUUCCUUAUCCUUCUAGGCAAGCACAGAAGAAAACCUGUCUGUAAUUACUUUCUUGAUCUAAAAAUCUGCUUGUCUCAGAGAUGAGCAAAGACUUCAGUUCACAUGGAAAACAGAUAAUGUCUGUCAUCCAGGGGAAUUAGUUUUUCUCUUUGAGAUUUCAGGUGGCUACAGCCAAGUUAAGUCAUACACAAGAGGCACAGGCACUGCAGGGAGAAAGAUUAUAACCUUA